rnacentral:lncRNA from 1 species
CUCUCUCGCUCUCUCGCUCUGUCUCUAGCCUAACCCAAAACCCCAAAUCCCAAAGUGUAUCUUGUCACUGCCUUGUCUCCCUGCCUUGCCGCCGCCGCUACCUCGUCGCUACCUUGCCACCGGUCUCGAAAUUGAAACUCUUUUCUCUGAAAUUAAAGUUGUCCUCUCUCAAAUUGAAACUCUCAGCUCUCAAAUUGCCGCUGGUAUGUUAUACCGUAAAUUUCUGUAAUAGCUUGUUAUAGAAAACUUAUCUCUAUUUCUCACAAAUUGUAACUUCUAGUUAAUUUCUCUUCUUUUUCUCAAUUUGGAACCGUAAUUUAUUCUUUGUUCUUUUCCUCUUUGUUUGCCCAUCACAAGAAUAGACCUUCUCUGUUGAAAAUGUACUAAUUAUGCCUAUGUUUUCUGUUUUUCGUAAUAAUUUGAGGUUAUUGGUGAUUAUCAAUUUAGUGAGAGUUCUAGUUCAAGAUUUUAUACGUUUGUAGAGAGAAUGAGUAUGCCCAGUGUUGAGGUUAAGACCAUACGCUGGUCUUGAUACGAUAUUAGAAAUAGGGGAAACUAGGAUAUUCAGAAGAAAAAGGUGGUUUUGUUCUAUGGAUGUGUAUAUCUCGUAAUUUCAAGUUUGUCUAUUUCUCUAUUCUCCUGACUAACUUGAGUUGUUACUCUUUCCAUCGAUUUCCUUUCUUUUGUAUUGCAUAUUUUGUUCAGUGGACUUGUAUUUUUGUCUUAUUCCAAUGGAUCAUCCAUGCUUGCGUUUCAAUGUGGUACAAUGGUUCUUUUGUACUGGUUUGUUAAGUCUAAUGCAGUAAAAGACAUGAGAUAUGCUAAAGAAGUUAAAAAUGAAUUUCUGAUAAAAACUCUAGAUGAGUUAAUUGUUCUGGGUACUUUCAAUUUUCAGAGUUCCGUCUAUAGAAUGAAGGUCUUUAAAUUUGCUUAAUUGUUGCUGUUGUAAAUAUUCUGAAUGUGUUUAUAUGUUCUUCAGUUAUGUAUGUGUUUGAUCUUCUGUUGUUUAUUUUGAACUCAAAUUCUUACAUUCAUACUUUGUAUUUCAGCUCUAUAAUUUCUAAAUAGUCAAAGGCGUAGAGAUGAGUGAAGUUCCAUCACUGUUCUUUUUGUGCUUGGACUGUAUCAAAAAUGAGAUCCUGUAUGGUGAGUUUUUGCAGAAUUUCGAAUUUGUUGUUUAGUUAAAGGGGAAGUUUUAAUUGUAGGAAUUGAAUUUUGUUUUUAUUUUCUGAAACUUCAGAAAACUCUAAUUUCCUUGUAGUGAGUAUUAAUGUACAAACUUUUUGUGUUUACUUUUUUAGCUUGUCUUAGGAGAGUAGUCUUCACUUUAACAUUUUGAUUGACUGAGAUCAAGUUUUUCCUUUCCCCCUAUUUAAUAACUCAUUAUAUCUUUAGACCAUUGACAAGUUCAGUAAUCUUGCACACUGCCUCUGUUCAGUUAUUUUCCAGCUUCCUAUCCUAGCUUUCCCCAAUCUUUGAGAAAAAAGGGACGAGAAAAGGGAGAGAAAACAAAACCUCUUUGAUAUGUAUGAUCCCUACUAUUAUUGUGCUAGUUUGUGAAUUGAAAUGCUAUGGUUUGUGAGUUUUAUAUUUAUGCAG